GAUGAAGAACGUAGCGAAAUGCGAUAAGUGAUGCGAAUUGCAGAAUUCAGUGAGUCAUCGAAUCUUUGAACGCACAUUGCGCCCUGUGGUAUUCCGCAGGGCAUGCCUGUUCGAGCGUCAUUUCAACCCUCAAGCUCUGCUUGGUGUUGGGCCCUGCCCGCUCGCGGCCGGCCCUAAAGACAGUGGCGGCGCCGUCUGGCUCUGAGCGUAGUACACCUCUCGCUCCAGCGCCUGGCAGUGGCCUGCCAGAACCCCAACUCUGUGGUUGACCUCGGAUCAGGUAGGGAUACCCGCUGAACUUAAGCAUAUCAAUAAGCGGAGGA
rnacentral:misc_RNA from 1 species